rnacentral:rRNA from 1 species
UACGAAGGUGGCAAGCGUUGUUCGGAUUUACUGGGCGUACAGGGAGCGUAGGCGGUUGGAUAAGCCCUCCGUGAAAUCUCCAGGCUUAACCUGGAAAGUGCAGAGGGGACUGUUCAGCUAGAGGAUGGGAGAGGAGCGCGGAAUUCCCGGUGUAGCGGUGAAAUGCGUAGAGAUCGGGAGGAAGGCCGGUGGCGAAGGCGGCGCUCUGGAACAUUUCUGACGCUGAGGCGCGGAAGCGUGGGGAGCGAACAGG